GCGGGCGUGGUGUAAUGGAAAGCACAGCAGCCUCCAAAUCUGCCGGUGCGGGUUCGAGUCCCGCCGUCCGUGCCA
rnacentral:tRNA from 1 species